UUGACAGCAGCCGCGGUAAUACGGAGGAUGCAAGCGUCAUCCGGAUUCAUUGGGUUUAAAGGGUGCGUAGGCGGAAUAAUAAGUCAGUGGUGAAAGCCUGCGGCUUAACCGUAGAAUUGCCAUUGAUACUGUUAUUCUUGAGUACAGUUGAAGUAGGCGGAAUGUGUAAUGUAGCGGUGAAAUGCUUAGAUAUUACACAGAACACCAAUUGCGAAGGCAGCUUACUAAGCUGUGACUGACGCUGAGGCACGAAAGCGUGGGGAGCAAACAGGAUUAGAAACCCGCGUAGUCC
rnacentral:rRNA from 1 species